rnacentral:rRNA from 1 species
CCUACGGGGGGCAGCAGUGGGGAAUAUUGGGCAAUGGAGGCAACUCUUACCCAGCAAUGCCGCGUGAAUGAAGAAGGUCUUCGGAUUGUAAAGUUCUUUAAUUGGGGACGAAAAAAAUGACGGUACCCAAGGAAUAAGCCCCGGCUAACUACGUGCCAGCAGCCGCGGUAAUACGUAGGGUGCAAGCGUUAUCCGGAUUUAUUGGGCGUAAAGGGCUCGUAGGCGGUUCGUCGCGUCCGGUGUGAGAGUCCAUCGCUUAACGGUGGAUCCGCGCCGGGUACGGGCGGGCUUGAGUGCGGUAGGGG